ACNCGACUCAACCGCAAGGGGAGAGGUGCCUAAGGUGAGGCCGAUGACUGGGAUG
rnacentral:rRNA from 1 species